rnacentral:rRNA from 1 species
UACGAAGGGAGCGAGCGUUGUUCGGAAUCACUGGGCUUAAAGCGUGCGUAGGCGGAUAUACAAGUCAGAAGUGAAAUCCCCGGGCUUAACCCGGGAACUGCUUUUGAGACUGUAUGUCUAGAAUUCGGUAGAGGUUAAUGGAAUGUCCAGUGUAGAGGUGAAAUUCGCAGAUAUUGGACGGAACACCAGUGGCGAAGGCGAUUAACUGGGCCGAUAUUGACGCUGAGGCACGAAAGCGUGGGUAGCAAACAGG